CCUUUUAUAGUUUCAAACAAAACAUUGAUUUUGUAAAUCAACAAUGAGAUCUCAUCUCUAAAAGGA
rnacentral:tRNA from 1 species